UUGGGAAUCUUGGACAAUGGGGGAAACCCUGAUCCAGCCAUGCCGCGUGAGUGAUGAAGGCCUUCGGGUUGUAAAGCUCUUUUACCCGGGAAGAUAAUGACUGUACCGGGAGAAUAAGCUCCGGCUAACUUCGUGCCAGCAGCCGCGGUAAUACGAAGGGGGCUAGCGUUGUUCGGAAUUACUGGGCGUAAAGCGCGCGCAGGCGGUUUCUCAAGUCAGUGGUGAAAGCCCGGAGCUCAACUCCGGAACUGCCAUUGAAACUGUGAAACUUGAGGACGAGAGAGGUGAGUGGAAUUCCCAGUGUAGAGGUGAAAUUCGUAGAUAUUGGGAAGAACACCGGUGGCGAAGGCGGCUCACUGGCUCGUUUCUGACGCUCAGGCGCGACAGCGUGGGGAUCAAACAGGAUUAGAUACCCUGGUAGUCCACGCCGUAAACGAUGAACGCUAGCCGUUGGAUAGCUUGCUAUUCAGUGGCGCAGCUAACGCAUUAAGCAAUCCGCCUGGGGAGUACGGUCGCAAGAUUA
rnacentral:rRNA from 1 species